rnacentral:rRNA from 1 species
CCUCUUUCUCGUAUGUUCUUCAGCCCACCCACGAGCUGCUGCCUUAUCUUCUACAGCGAAAUCCUCUCGGAAUCCCCAGAUCCAAAUCUCCGCUGCUGGACCAGCGCCUCCAUGGCGGCCGAACUCGAACAACACCCUCCCCAGCCGCACCACCGCACAUCCUUCCUCUCAUGCCGGCAGCCAGCCGUACCCAUCUCCCCACAUCCUCCCGUUCCGACGCCUCCCCGCCGUGCCCACCUACCCCUCAACCGGCCGCGCCCCCUACACUCCCACCGCGCGCCCGCAUGGUCCUCUUCUCCGACCGGAUCAUGCCGAGAUCCGUGAGUCCAUGGGAACCGUGGGUGAAUCACGCGCGGCCACGACCGUCCUACCUCCCUACAUGCUUACUGCAAACACCACCAUCCCCUUUCCUCACCUCUAGCCUCCCCUGCCCCUUUCUCUCCCCAACGGCCAGAUCCAGCCCCUAAAGCCUGAUCUAGUGCAUGCAGCAAGGGUCUCGUUGAUGCAGGUCGUUGCCAUGUCGCCGCAGGGAGCCGGCGACCCUGUCGUUGGCGUGCCCAACCGCGGGGCUGCACAGAGCUGCUACUGGGCCAUGUCGCCGGGGGCUGCGCUGUGCUGCAGCCCUGCCGCCCCUUCGGGGCCCGCAUCCGUCACCUACGUCGUCCUCACCGUCGGCUUCUCCGUUGACCACGACAGUCUAUGAGCCCCUCUCCCCACCAGGUUCCCUUUCAUCUCUACUUUGGAUUUGUUGAGGCUGUCUUAUCUUUUGUCAACACGCAGGCAAUGUUGAGCAUGAGUUGAUGCGACUUGGUGGAUAAGGUUCUAUCUUCGAUGAUGCCGGCGGGGAUGGCUAGAUCUGCGUCCAGAAAUGCACGAGAAUGACCCCCGGUGGUCGUCCGGCGAGCGCUGAGCCGGGCGGCGGUGGCUGCAGAGUUUUUCCUUUUUUAUCAUGUCUGUGGCUACAGAAUUAACAUAGGGUGUUUGUAGUUUUUAGUUUCUUUUGUUUUUCUUAUAUUUGACCGAUGUAUUGUCUGGAAAUGCCUGUAAUUUCAAGUUUUCUGUGUAGCUUUUUUCUGUUAUGUUUAUAUAUUUUUUCCUUUCAUGUAAUGGCAUGAGCAUACAUUUUCUGAAAAAUUUAUACUGUCUCAGGAUUAGUAUUUCUAUGGAACAGGAGAAAUAAGAUGGGC